rnacentral:lncRNA from 1 species
CACUGGGUAAUGCUCUACUAGUCCUUUCUAGCUCCUCUAACAAUCGUGAUUGUUUUUGUACUUCUCUGUUUAAUUUCUCUCUUCCUGAUCAGAUGGUAAAGUCUCUGAGGGUGGCAAGGGUCAAUGCCUGUCCGGCUCACCAUGACAAGUGCUUCCCUGGUGUGAAGAAGUUAUGCUGGAGAGAGUGACUGGAUGAACAGAAUGAACAGAUGACCCCACCAAGAGCCUAGUCUGCAUCUGUCUGGUGCCCACGUCCUCUCCUCCAAGUCAGAAACAAAUGACAGGCAUUCUGCCUGCGGAUGAGCUGCCCGCCUGCUGGUCAGCCUUUCAGGCUCUGUGCCUGCUGGUUGAGGCCAGAUAGGGGGCGGGGGCCAGGUCUGAGCAGCAACCACAGCAUCAGCAUCUCCAGGAAAGCCUUGAACUCACGGCCUCAGCUCCCACCGGGACUGCCACAGGGAGAUGCCUCUGUUUCACGUUCCUGUUUCUGCCGCUGGGAUCAACACUGGCUGCUGGUAAUCCCAUACUUGUCAUUCCUAUUAUAUGAUAGACCUUGAGAGGGCUGUGACCACGUCCAUGUGUUUCACCUCAUAUUCCAACACCUGGC